GACGAACGCUGGCGGCGUGCUUAACACAUGCAAGUCGAACGGAAAGGCCCUGCUUUUGUGGGGUGCUCGAGUGGCGAACGGGUGAGUAACACGUGAGUAACCUGCCCUUGACUUUGGGAUAACUUCAGGAAACUGGGGCUAAUACCGGAUAGGAGCUCCUGCUGCAUGGUGGGGGUUGGAAAGUUUCGGCGGUUGGGGAUGGACUCGCGGCUUAUCAGCUUGUUGGUGGGGUAGUGGCUCACCAAGGCUUUGACGGGUAGCCGGCCUGAGAGGGUGACCGGCCACAUUGGGACUGAGAUACGGCCCAGACUCCUACGGGAGGCAGCAGUGGGGAAUAUUGCACAAUGGGCGGAAGCCUGAUGCAGCAACGCUGCGUGCGGGAUGACGGCCUUCGGGUUGUAAACCGCUUUCGCCUGUGACGAAGCGUGAGUGACGGUAAUGGGUAAAGAAGCACCGGCUAACUACGUG
rnacentral:rRNA from 1 species